AGAGUUUGAUCCUGGCUCAGAUUGAACGCUGGCGGCAUGCCUUACACAUGCAAGUCGAACGGCAGCGCGGGGCAACCUGGCGGCGAGUGGCGAACGGGUGAGUAAUAUAUCGGAACGUACCCUGGAGUGGGGGAUAACGUAGCGAAAGUUUCGCUAAUACCGCAUACGAUCUAAGGAUGAAAGCAGGGGACCGCAAGGCCUUGUGCUCCUGGAGCGGCCGAUAUCUGAUUAGCUAGUUGGUGGGGUAAAGGCCCACCAAGGCAUCGAUCAGUAGCUGGUCUGAGAGGACGACCAGCCACACUGGAACUGAGACACGGUCCAGACUCCUACGGGAGGCAGCAGUGGGGAAUUUUGGACAAUGGGCGCAAGCCUGAUCCAGCAAUGCCGCGUGAGUGAAGAAGGCCUUCGGGUUGUAAAGCUCUUUUGUCAGGGAAGAAACGGCCUGUUCUAAUACAGUGGGCUAAUGACGGUACCUGAAGAAUAAGCACCGGCUAACUACGUGCCAGCAGCCGCGGUAAUACGUAGGGUGCAAGCGUUAAUCGGAAUUACUGGGCGUAAAGCGUGCGCAGGCGGUUUUGUAAGUCUGUCGUGAAAUCCCCGGGCUCAACCUGGGAAUGGCGAUGGAGACUGCAAGGCUAGAGUUUGGCAGAGGGGGGUAGAAUUCCACGUGUAGCAGUGAAAUGCUAGAUAUGUGGAGGAACACCGAUGGCGAAGGCAGCCCCCUGGGUCAAAACUGACGCUCAUGCACGAAAGCGUGGGGAGCAAACAGGAUUAGAUACCCUGGUAGUCCACGCCCUAAACGAUGUCUACUAGUUGUCGGGUCUUAAUUGACUUGGUAACGCAGCUAACGCGUGAAGUAGACCGCCUGGGGAGUACGGUCGCAAGAUUAAAACUCAAAGGAAUUGACGGGGACCCGCACAAGCGGUGGAUGAUGUGGAUUAAUUCGAUGCAACGCGAAAAACCUUACCUACCCUUGACAUGGAAGGAAUCCCGGAGAGAUUUGGGAGUGCCCGAAAGGGAACCUUUACACAGGUGCUGCAUGGCUGUCGUCAGCUCGUGUCGUGAGAUGUUGGGUUAAGUCCCGCAACGAGCGCAACCCUUGUCAUUAGUUGCUACGAAAGAGCACUCUAAUGAGACUGCCGGUGACAAACCGGAGGAAGGUGGGGAUGACGUCAAGUCCUCAUGGCCCUUAUGGGUAGGGCUUCACACGUCAUACAAUGGUACAUACAGA
rnacentral:rRNA from 1 species